GAAGAACUAGAGUGAAGGACUGACCAGUUGGCAAAAUCUCCAGCAGAUUAAUGGAGACCAUCUGGAUGGAGGCGCUGCACUUAGGGGCCCGGUGGCGAGGGCCGGGCUCCCCAAAGGCCUGUGCCGUGCUGCCUUGCCCCCAGAGAAGACAGCAGUUCUGGCUGGAGUUCUAGUGUCCGAGAGCUGAGAGAGGGUGUGGUCUCGACCCGAGCGAGCACCCCUGCAGUUCCAGAUAUGGAAAGUCUGCUCACCACUGGCGGUUCUGGCCCAGAGGCACACAGCCCAUUACUCUCGAGCCAUGGCAGAAGCCAGCAAUGAACAAGACAGACGCACGACUGCCACAGGAACAUGCAGCCUGGUGGCAACUCAGACCAGGAGGCCUGGCAGCAUCAGAGGUGGAGCUCUGCCCAAGGUGACAACAACACCCUGGCUGGGGCGGUGAGUCCCUCUACUGCAGAGGUUCUCAGAGUGGCAUCCGACCAGCAGCAUCAACACCACUUCGGAACUUGCCAGAAAUGUGGAUUCUCGGCCCCACCUACACCCACUGAAUCAGAAACAGGCUGGGGUCCAUGAAACUGGUUUGAAGCACUCCCCAGAGGGCUGUGAUGCCGCCAGCGCGUGGGGACCACCGUGCUGGGGACGGGGCGCUGGGCAGCACAGGAGGGGCCUCUGUGGAUUGACCGGAACAAUUCACAAUACGGAAAAUGACUUUCUCCUUCUCAACUUCUUCCUCCGCCAGUUUUUCCCCUCCUUCUUUUCUGAAGCGUCUUCCUCUUACUUUCUCCCAGACAUGAGAUCAACCUUCACCAGAGGUGGUCCCAAGAUUCCCUGCUCUCUGGCUCACCUUGAAGAGUGGGAGCCUAUUUCCAACACCACUUCCCCCUCAUAAAGAAAGACCACGAGACUGACAAGUAUCUGAAGAGAGGUUCAAACCCUAUGAAUCCAAGAAACGUAAAUUUAAGCAAUUGAGAUAUGACUGCGCUCUUCAGAAUGGCCAUGCUCAGAAUGAGGGGACCACAAGGAGUGGCAAGGGCUUGUGAGGACAAGACCUCUUCCUAAUCGAGCGGAGUGUAAGCUGGUACGCUUAUUUUGGAAAGCAAUCUGGCAAAUUUAGUGUUACUUAUUUUCUUUAAUUAGUUUCAUUGGACACACCUCACACACUGCUUACUGUGUUUUAGACACUGUUCUAGGCAACUUACAAAUCCCAACUCAGGUAAUUAGUAACUUAGAUAGUUGAGGAUGUGUACGCUUUAUGAGCCAGUGAUCCUCUCCCAAGGGAUGGAUUCCGGAGCAGGUCUCCCACAGUCGAUAAAGGGACAUGUAUAGAGUGUGGCGUUGGUGGCAGAGGUGGUGGAGGACCCUUGGUGUCCAGCCGCGGGGGUUGGAAACUGUGGUGUGCAUCCCGUGGGAUGCUAUGCAGUGCUGGGAUCAUCUAACCAGACACCUACAGCAUCAAGGACAGAGCUCAGAAAAACAGUGAAGACUGAAAAAAGUAGACUGCAGAAUAACAUUCAUAACUCAAUACCAUUUAUGAAAAGUCAAAACACAUACUCACAACAAUGCUCCAUACUUUGCAGGAAUAUAUGCGUCUUUAAGGACACGUAGCAAACAUAUGGGAGCAGGUGCUUCUGUGGAGGAGAUGGCUGGAGAGGGACGGUGGUGAAAGGGAGAGGAACUCUGGACACAGUCUGAGCAACGUGCUGCGCACCAACGAGCGUGGGGAACCCGACUGUCUGAGCCUGUGCCCAAAACACGGGAGAAAGAUGAGGACGCCUUUCCCUGUCGAUGGCUGACAGCUGAAGAAAAGCAGGCCUGAGGGCGGUGGGCUGCGCAUGGGGCAGGUGCGAAGUUUGGCCAGAAUUGGAAUCUGGAACCAGUCACUUGAUCUUGGUAAAAAG
ensembl:lncRNA